rnacentral:rRNA from 1 species
GACGUAGGGCGCGAGCGUUGUCCGGAUUUAUUGGGCGUAAAAGAGCUCGUAGGCGGCUUGUCGCGUCGAAUGUGAAAACUCGGGGCUCAACCCCGCGCUUGCAUUCGAUACGGGCAGGCUCGAGUUCGGUAGGGGAGACUGGAAUUCCUGGUGUAGCGGUGAAAUGCGCAGAUAUCAGGAGGAACACCGAUGGCGAAGGCAGGUCUCUGGGCGAUACUGA